UGGGGAAUAUUCCGCAAUGGACGAAAGUCUGACGGAGCAAUGCCGCGUGAGUGAUGAAGGCUUUUGGGUCGUAAAACUCUGUCUUUUGGGACGAAAUUCAUAUGUGCUAAUACCAUGUAUGAUUGACGGUACCUUAGGAGGAAGCCCCGGCUAACUACGUGCCAGCAGCCGCGGUAAUACGUAGGGGGCAAGCGUUGUCCGGAUUUAUUGGGCGUAAAGGGCGUGUAGGCGGUUUAAUAAGUUGGGUGUGAAAACUCUGGGCUCAACCCAGAGACUGCAUUCAAAACUGUUUUACUUGAGGGCAGGAGAGGAAAGUGGAAUUCCAAGUGUAGCGGUGAAAUGCGUAGAUAUUUGGAAGAACACCAGUGGCGAAGGCGACUUUCUGGACUGUUUCUGACGCUGAGGCGCGAAAGCCAGGGGAGCGAACG
rnacentral:rRNA from 1 species